AAAAAUAAAGAAGAAUCGUUUGUACGUCUCUUCUCUUCUCUGUCUGUCUUUCUUUCUCUUCUUUAGCUUAGCCAUGUCUCUGCUUUCUCUAUAAUUUCCUUAGCAAAGAAGAGAAAGCAAAGAAAUCAAAGUAAACAAAUGAAAACCCACCAAAAAAUUCAAAUCUCUUGCUAGUUUUUUUUUUUUUGGUGCGUGCGUGUGUGCGCGCGCGUUCAAAAAAAGUGAAUUAUUUUUGGGUUUUAAGCUGUUGAACGGUGAAGAAGAUGACGGUUGCAAAUAAUUUUGAUUUGUGGAAAAAAGAUGCCUUCUUUUCUGCAGCAGAAGAGGUUCAAGAAUCUGCUGAUAUAGGUUCGGUGUCAAGCAAAAGGUUCCAAGAUUUGACAUGCUUAUUCUGUUUCUUUCACCUACAGAAUGAAAUAAUGAAAUUAUAAAUUAAUACAUAAUAAACUUAAAUUUUGAUUUAUGAAAAAAUUAUACAUAAUCAGUGAAGCUCAGUUCCUUUGUUUGAAUUCUUAUGCUUUAGGUAGAUAAGGGUUUCUCUGUACUGCCUGAAAACAUUUUGUACUUCAAAAAUAAUAUGCCACAUGAAAAUAAAAUAUUUUACCAAUAAAAUAAAAUAAAAUAAAAUAAAAAACAAGAAUCAAAUAUAAAAAUUCGAACAUAGAAGAAGUUUAAUCAAUUUGCUUGCAAAAACUCUUCAAGGUCUAUCUCUUUUCAUCUUCUAGGUAUGUGUUUUCUUGGUUUUUAUAUAUAUUCUUUUCUUUUGACAAACAACUUGAGGUUUAAUUAAAUUUGACAAAGGACUUGGGGUUGAACUAAUUUGAUUCUUGUUUUUAUUUUAUUUUAUUUUAUUGGCAAGAAAGAUAAAAUAUUUUAUUUAUCAAAUAAUCUAAAAGAUUUUGAAUUCUUAUGCUUUAGGUAGAUAAGAGUUGUUUUUUAGUUGUUUUCUUAAAUUAUUUAUGAUUAUAUUAGUUGCAAUAAUGAAAAAAUAAUUUCAUUUAUGUACUAGUAGGUUAAAUGGUAAAUUCUUUUAUAUAGCUGCUCUGGCUCGUAAGCUUACCUUGUUACGUGGUAACUUGCACAGAUUCUAGUUUUUCUUUUUCUGGGAAUAGGUAGAUCGUUUUACAUUAGUCAAUUAUGUAUGCCCCUGGGUAGUUUUACCUUAAUGAUUUGUUUUAUUUGUAGUCCAGUACUUGAAAUCAGUUUUUGAGCUAGUUUUCUUAUUUUCAGGUCAGCAACACGGAUCUUGAAGGAAAAAAAAGCUGAAGAUCAAUGUUCAUAGGCCUGUGUGGACAAGGGUUGUCUUUGAUGAGGAAGGCAACACACAAGCUCCACUUGCUAUGUUGGCUGACAAGACGAGCGUCGAUAUACUGCUUGACCAAGAUAUUGAAGGUGUAGUGGAGGAUUUAAUCUCUUCAAGCUAGAAAAGCCAAGGCUUAACACUUUUUCAAGUAGAGUGUUAUUUAAUGUUGUAUUCCAUGGUUGUUUAUCUUAGUCCGAACUUGAAUCAGGUGUUAUUGAAACAGGGUUUUGUAACUACCUUGUGUACUAGCUUUUUUAAUCAUGAUUGUUAAUUAUUACGUGUUUUGUAGCUUUUUUUAUAUUUGGCCGAGUUAAUACAGAUCAGAUGAGCUAUGAGGUAGAUUGUUCAUUUAUUUAAACAUAAUAUUUUAAUUCUAAAUUUUAAUUCAUUAUUUUUUA